GGAUGCAAAAUGGACGACGGAGGGAAGUUAAAUUUUAAAACAUUGUAUUUCUUUUGUUUACUGGUAUGUCUAAGCCUAGGCAACGAAGAGAAAGAUCCGAAGAAAGUAUGCAAGCAUGUGCCACAGAAGAAGAUAGAUACUGCAUUUGUUACCGUGGAAACACAUGGUCAUAAAAAUGUUACUGUCAACUUGAAUACCAUAACGACAGAAUGUUAUACAUGUGACCUGCAGUUGACAGCUGUGGUAGAGCCACACCAUAACACAUGUACUGUACUAGUGGACACACGAUGGAAAAUGAAAGUCAGCAUCAGUACAGAUAAUGACAGUUUUAAAGUGUUACCUAGCUGUAGUGUGAACAACUUAAGUAAAUGGUUUCUGGAAGGUGGUAAUUACAGUAUCAUUGUUAUGAUAGAGAAUGACAAGAUCACCUGUGAGAAACCUGUCCUGCAAAAUGAUACUGUAGAUAGUAAUAUACCUAUUUAUGUUGCCAUGGGAGCAUUUGUUGGACUGGUACUGUUGUGGUGGUUUCUGAAGUAUAUGUAUAGAAACCAUUUGUUACGUAGGCUUCAGUAUUGUUUGUUCCCAGACUCUGCCGCAUUUAUUGAUCCGAAUGAAUAUGCCGAACAGGAUCUGGGAGUGCCAACUAAUACAUCUGAAGAAGAUGCUGUGAGACCCAGAAAGGAGCGAUUGAAAUCACUGGAUACAUUCAGAGGGAUCUCUAUAGUUGUCAUGAUAUUUGUCAACUAUAGAGGAGGGGACUACUGGUUCUUUAGACAUUCUAAAUGGAAUGGCCUUACUGUGGCCGACCUCGUCUUUCCAUGGUUUGUCUGGAUAAUGGGAACAGCUAUGGCAUACUCCUUCCAUUCUCAGCUGCGAAGAUCUACACCAAAGACAAAAAUGUUCUGGAAAAUAUUCAAACGAUCAUGCAUUUUAUUUGCUCUCGGAUUGCUGAUAAAUUCUUCUGAUGGUCUUAAUCCUGUAAGAAUGCGAGAGUUUCGUAUCCCAGGAGUUCUACAGAGAUUUGCUGGUACAUAUCUCAUCGUAGCAACACUGCACAUGUUCUUUGCUAAACCAAAUGAUCCAAAUCAGUACACAUGGUGGAGUCCUAUUCGUGACAUCACAGACUACUGGUUUGAAUGGGUAUUCAACAUUGUUCUUGUUGUUGUGUGGCUUGCACUAACAUUUGGUCUAGAAGUACCUGGAUGUCCAAAGGGAUAUCUAGGACCAGGUGGAUUAGCCAAUGAUAGCGAUGGUAAAAAUGUCUCUUUAUGCACUGGAGGAGCAGCGUCUUAUAUAGAUAGGACAAUUUUUGGGAAAGGAAGAAUUUACCAGACUCCAACCUGCAAGGAAAUAUACCUGACCACAGUACCACAUGAUCCAGAGGGAUUGCUGGGAACUCUUACUUCCUGUUUCAUGUGCUUUUUGGGUCUGCAGGCUGGGAAAAUUUUACGAACUUUUCCAGAUUGGAAACAAAGAGUAAAGAGAUUUAUAAUAUGGGGAAUUAUAUUGGGUGUUAUUGCAGUCAUUCUGUGCAAAGGAGAGAAAAAUGGUGGCUUUAUACCAAUCAAUAAAAAUCUCUGGUAAUCAUUAUUCAUAGCUGUCCCGAAUACUGGACUUCCUCUUUAAAAAGGUCACUCUCAUUUGUGAUAUGUUUGUCUUGUUUUGCAUUUUUCCUGUUUGCAUUUUGCUAUGUAACCAUAGAUGUGUACAGGGUAUGGUCUGGGGCACCAUUUUACUACCCAGGAAUGAAUGCGAUUUUAC
rnacentral:misc_RNA from 1 species